GACGAUCGCUGGCGGCGUGCUUAACACAUGCAAGUCGAGCGAUGAAAGCCUUAUGAACUAUUCGUAGUGAUUGGGGCCGGAUUAGCGGCGGACGGGUGAGUAACGCGUGAGCAACCUGCCUUAAACAACGGGAUAGCCUCGGGAAACCGGGAUUAAUACCGUAUGAGACCCCGCCUUCACAUGAAGAAGAGGUUAAAGAUUUAUCGGUUUAAGGUGGGCUCGCGUCUGAUUAGCUAGUUGGUGAGAUAAAAGCCCACCAAGGCAACGAUCAGUAACCGGCUUGAGAGAGUGAACGGUCACAUUGGAACUGAGACACGGUCCAAACUCCUACGGGAGGCAGCAGUGGGGAAUAUUGCACAAUGGGGGAAACCCUGAUGCAGCGACGCCGCGUGAGCGAUGAAGGAAUUCGUUUCGUAAAGCUCUGUCCAAGGGGAAGAUAAUGACAGUACCCUUGGAGGAAGCCCCGGCUAAAUACGUGCCAGCCGCCGCAGUAAUAC
rnacentral:rRNA from 1 species